AGUCGUGCUUCGCAGAAUCUACCACCGGAUCGGAAACGCGACCCACUGAGAAGAUCCGGCGAGAAACUCAGUGGGCUGUGUCUGAGAGUUAAUUUACUCGUCGAGCCCUUCGUCGCAAGCGACGGGUUCGACGAGAACGGUGACCGGUGGAAUCUAUGUUUUUGUGUCUUUGAGUUUAUAUAAAUGACAAAUGUAUAAUCUAUGUUUAAACCACAGAGUAGGACAAUUGACCAUAAUUUACCAUAAAAUCAGGGUGAAUGAAGUUAGCCCCUCAAAAAAAAUUUUUUUUCCUGUUUUCUACUUAUUUUCUAUUAAUUCGUUUGUUCAUCAUUUGUUCUUGAUUGUUCAUUGUUAAUAAUUGUUUGUUCCCCAUUUAUUUAUUUUAAAAAAUAUAUUAAAAAUAUAUCUAAAAGUUAGCCCCUCGAUUGCAAUUUUUAAAAUUUUUUCGUCCUUAAUUACUCGUAAAUAUUCAUUUUCGAUUGUUCUUAUAUAAAAUACGUUUGUUCUCUUUCGAAAUUACUCAUUUUUUGUUUAAUUAAUUGUAUUAGUUGAAUAAAUGUAUACAAAAUAUGUGUACUGCGCAUGCCAUAAGUGUAUAAUCUAUGGCGCAUGCGUCAACUAUAAUGCCUAAACUUUCUACGCGGUUUUAAUCGUGAAAAAAAAAACAAUUAUAAAUCCUGAAGGAUCGAUUAAUUGGUAUACAGUUUAAUUAAAAAAAUUAAAAAAUAAAUAAAUAAAAUAAUGUGCAUUCGCGUAAAGUUAGACCAAAUACAUUUUUUCCAUCCUCCUAUAUACCUAUCGCUAUGAAGAUAUAAAAAAGAUAGGUUAAGAGUUCACAUAGGUAAUAUAAACAAAUAAGUAAAUAUGUUUAUUAUUUAUCUUUCAAGAGAUAAUGUAGGUAUACAUUAUAAUAACAUUUUGACACAGUCGAAAUUAUAUUCCUAACAUUAGUAAUAUAACAUUUUAAUAUUUUUUUUAUAGGUUAUGUAUUGAAAUUGUUGGAAAAUUAUUUCAUGUUUUAGCUGGAAAACUACAUGGAGAAUUAUAUGCAAUACAAGAUAAUGAGCUCCAUUAAAUGAAUUCGAAUGAAACCAAACUGUUUACCAUCCAAAUUCGAUUGUCGGGCAGAUAGAAAACGAAAAUUCACUCAUAGUGAACCUCGGCCUGCAUUUGUGAAACGGCAAAGACUCACUAUUAUCAAGGAAAUUGAAGAGACGACUAAAAAUGAGAUGUGUCGUAUUAUUAUACCUUUGCCAUCUUGUAGUCAAGAUGUCCAGCCACUUGAAAAUAGGUGUAGUAAUGACAAAGCUAUCCAAGUAGCUCCAGCACAGGAACACAAAGGCAAGGCAAGUGUGUAUUGCCACAUCACCCCUUAAUAUAUCUGAAGCAAGUAUAAGUAAACAAUCAGAACCAGCAAAAAAAAAAACUGUUGUUCCUGAGGACAAAUUUGACAGUGAUGAGUCAAAUGCACCAGCAACAGAAGGAUCAACUGUUGACUAUGGGUUAUAGAAGAAGAAGAUGAAUUCAUAUUUAUUUAAAUUAAUAUUAAUGAAUAUUAAUUUAAAUUAUCGUGCAAAAUUCGUGGUCAAAACAUAUGUGUAUUUUAUAAAUAAAUAUUCAUUCUCAGUA